rnacentral:lncRNA from 1 species
GUAUAUUCAUCACAGUAAGUGGAAUAAUUUACUAUUUUGACUUCUUUCAGGUAUAUGUUCUCAUCAAGCCCAAGAAUUUGCACCAGAGCAGGAAAUAAAAUAUUUAUUCCAAAACAUGAAAAAGGAAAGAAAACAUCAGUGUGAUCAUUUUAAAAAGAAGCUUUACAAAGAUAAUAAAAGUGAGAAAGUUUUUAAUCAAUUGUCAAAAUAUAUAUAUCCAAUCUUUGAUAUUCAAGAAAAGAAUGACAAAUGUAUGGGACGUUCAAGAGCUUUAAAUAAAAUUGCAAGCAUUACUGAACACCAGAAAAUUCAUACUGGAGGGAAGUCCUACAAAUUUAAAGAAUAUGUAAAACCAUCUAAAGAUUACUCAAUCCUUUAUCAUAGCAGUGACAAACCCUACAUAUGUAAAGAAUGUGGUAAAGGUUUUACUCAACCUUCAACCCUUA